UACAUGCACACACACAGAGACACAUGACAAGAUAUAAACAUUCACAUCCUCCCUGCUGUUACCCUUUUGUCAGAUUAAAACUUGUGUAACCACGGUAUCGUGCUCUCAGUCCGAUCAAUACCACCGUUCGAUCAAUCACAUGAGAGGAAAACAAAGCCAGUAGUGUUUGUCAAGGACUGGAUGUAUCAAAUUUUUUUUUAACACUUGUAUCUGCCGCUACAUGUUCCACACCGGGACUCGUUGUACCUGUCACCUACUGGUAGCUAUUUGGUUUCCUAAUACAGAUCUUUCAAAUAUGUGGAGAACGUGCAGAUUCCUCACAGGAAGCACAGGGUAGAGCCAGUGCGCCAAAAAACAGGAUGAAACAGAUGCAGCCGCUGGCUGCCCCUCCCUCCUGCUGAGCACGAUGUUAAUUCUAGUACCAGUGCAAGAAAUUAUGAUCCCAGUUUUAAUAAUAAGUUUUGCAAAACUUUUGUUUUUGUCCGGUUUUUUGGGGGGCUUAAAUCCACCUUUAAUGCCUUGGGAGUGUAAUUUUGCACAGGCAGCAAAAGACAAAAGUGAAAGCUUUGAGGUGUUUCAAAGCUGCAGGAAGCCCUUUAAUCUGACAGCACGUUUCUCAUUAUCAGACUAUGAUCGUAGCUCACACACUGUUCGGGACGUUUGAAGUAAAUUUGAACACGCGUUAAAGUUGUUGGAUGACAUGGUGAAAGUGUUUAAUAAGCUGAAAACAAUC